rnacentral:tRNA from 1 species
GGGGCUAUAGCUCAGUUGGUAGAGCAUCUCAAUGGCAUUGAGAGGGCCAGCGGUUCAAAUCGCUUAGCUCC